CUGGGGCGGUCUCCUCCCAAAGAGUAACGGAGGAGCACGAAGGUGGGCUAAACACGGUUGGACAUCGUGUGGUUAGUGCAAUGGCAUAAGCCCGCUUGACUGCGAGAAUGACAAUUCGAGCAGGUGCGAAAGCAGGUCAUAGUGAUCCGGUGGUUCUGAAUGGAAGGGCCAUCGCUCAACGGAUAAAAGGUACUCCGGGGAUAACAGGCUGAUACCGCCCAAGAGUUCAUAUCGACGGCGGUGUUUGGCACCUCGAUGUCGGCUCAUCACAUCCUGGGGCUGAAGUCGGUCCCAAGGGUAUGGCUGUUCGCCAUUUAAAGUGGUACGCGAGCUGGGUUUAGAACGUCGUGAGACAGUUCGGUCCCUAUCUGCCGUGGGCGUUGGAAAAUUGAAAGGGGCUGCUCCUAGUACGAGAGGACCGGAGUGGACGAACCUCUGGUGUUCGGGUUGUCAUGCCAAUGGCAUUGCCCGGUAGCUAAGUUCGGAAUCGAUAACCGCUGAAAGCAUCUAAGCGGGAAGCGAGCCUUGAGAUGAGUUUUCCCUGGCGCUAUAAGCGUCCUAAAGGGUUGUCGUAGACUACGACGUUGAUAGGCAGGGUGUGUAAGUGCUGCGAGGCAUUGAGCUAACCUGUACUAAUUGCCCGUGAGGCUUAACCAUACAACACCCAAGGGGUUU
rnacentral:rRNA from 1 species